rnacentral:rRNA from 1 species
AGGAGGUUUGGAUCCUGGGCUCAGGGUGAACGCUGGCGGCGCGCCUAAUGCAUGCAAGUCGAGCGUGCCUAGCNGCUUCGGCCGUGACGGAAAGCGGCAAACGGCUGAGUAACUCGUGAGUAACCUGCCCCCUGGUGGGGUAUAACCCCGAGAAAUCGAGGUUAAUCCCGCAUAAGGUCCCCGGACCCUGGUUCGGGGAGGAAAGUCUCGAUUCGUCGGGACGCCGGGGGAGGGGCUCGCGUCCUAUCAGGUAGUUGGUGAGGUAAUGGCUCACCAAGCUGAUGACGGGUAGCUGGUCUGAGAGGAUGGCCAGCCAGAGGGGGACUGAGAUACGGCCCCCACUCCUACGGGAGGCAGCAGCAGGGAAUCUUGGGCAAUGGGCGAAAGCCUGACCCAGNGACGUCGCGUGGUGGGAAGAAGGCCUCAGGGCUGUAAACCCCUUUUCCA